rnacentral:rRNA from 1 species
AGGAGGGUCCUCCUUAGUACGAGAGGAUUUGGAGGGACGCACCUCUGGUGUACCAGUUGUCGCGCUAGCGGCACGGCUGGAUAGCUAUGUGCGGAAAGGAUAAACGCUGAAAGCAUAUAAGCGUGAAGCCCUCUCCAAGAUUAGGUCUCGUAAGGCUUUGCCGAAAGCCCCCUGGAAGACUACCAGGUUGAUAGGCCGGAUGUGUAAGCGCCGCAAGGCGUUAAGCUAACCGGUUACUAACGGGCGAAAGCUUGGCCGC